UACGUAGGGGGCAAGCGUUGUCCGGAUUUAUUGGGCGUAAAGAGCGUGUAGGCGGUUCGGUAGGUCCGGUGUGAAAACUCGAGGCUCAACCUCGAGACGCCGAUGGAAACCCUCGAACUAGAGUCCGGAAGAGGAGAGUGGAAUUCCUGGUGUAGCGGUGAAAUGCGCAGAUAUCAGGAAGAACACCCGUGGCUAAGGCGGCUCUCUAGUACGGUACUGACGCUGAGACGCGAAAGCGUGGGGAGCGAACAGG
rnacentral:rRNA from 1 species